rnacentral:rRNA from 1 species
ACAUCCUGCGGGAGGCAGCAGUGGGGAAUAUUGCACAAUGGGCGCAAGCCUGAUGCAGCCAUGCCGCGUGUAUGAAGAAGGCCUUCGGGUUGUAAAGUACUUUCAGCGGGGAGGAAGGCGAUAAGGUUAAUAACCUUGUUGAUUGACGUUACCCGCAGAAGAAGCACCGGCUAACUCCGUGCCAGCAGCCGCGGUAAUACGGAGGGUGCAAGCGUUAAUCGGAAUUACUGGGCGUAAAGCGCACGCAGGCGGUCUGUCAAGUCGGAUGUGAAAUCCCCGGGCUCAACCUGGGAACUGCAUUCGAAACUGGCAGGCUAGAGUCUUGUAGAGGGGGGUAGAAUUCCAGGUGUAGCGGUGAAAUGCGUAGAGAUCUGGAGGAAUACCGGUGGCGAAGGCGGCCCCCUGGACAAAGACUGACGCUCAGGUGCGAAAGCGUGGGGAGCAAACAGGAUUAGAUACCCGUGUAGUCCCAUG